rnacentral:rRNA from 1 species
AGAGUUUGAUCCUGGCUCAGGACGAACGCUGGCGGCGUGCCUAAUACAUGCAAGUCGAGCAACCGACGAGGUGCUUGCACCUUUGACGUUAGCGGCGAACGGGUGAGUAACACGUAAGGAUCUACCUAUAAGUGGGGGAUAACAUCCGGAAACGGGUGCUAAUACCGCAUAAUAACCGACCCACAUGGUGUAAGUUUGAAAGAUGGCUCUGCUGUCACUUAUAGAUGACCUUGCGGUGCAUAGCUAGUUGGUGGGGUAAUAGCCUACCAAGGCCAUGAUGCAUAGCCGACCUGAGAGGGUAUCGGCCACAUUGGGACUGAGACACGGCCCAAACUCCUACGGGAGGCAGCAGUAGGGAAUUUCCGCAAUGGACGCAAGUCUGACGGAGCAACGCCGCGUGAGUGAAGAAGGUUUUCGGAUGUAAAACUCUGUUAUAAGAGAAGAACAAGUUGUAGAGUAACUGUUGCAGCUUUGACGGUACUUAUCAGAAAGCCACGGCUAACUACGUGCCAGCAGCCGCGGUAAUACGUAGGUGGCAAGGUUGUCCGGAUUUAUUGGGCGUAAAGGGAGCGCAGGUGGUUUCUUAAGUCUGAUG